GAGCACAACUUGUUGACAGCUUGUUUGCAGACUUGCUACAAGAUGUGAGAUUUUUACGCGUGUAGCAAGUCUGCCAACAAACCAUCAACAAG